UUUCUUCCUAUCAUACCUAUUGUUUAUGGCACGGCGGUAGAAAUGAGUAUAUUUCUUUUCGUGUGCAGUGAGUAAAGUCAGAGAGAUAGAGUGGAAGACCUCGCGUGGCGUAAGGGCCACCUUGUUGUCUCUAUAUGACGACUGACGUGAGUAAAGGGUGGUGAUCAAAGCUGGUGUAGAUACCGUGGUAGUCCAAGACGUAAACGAUGAGUGAUAAGUUUUAGGGGGUUUUCCCCCAUUAGUGCUGCAGAUAACGCAUAAGCACUCCGCUUGGGGAGUACGACCGCAAGGUUGAAACUCAAAGGAAUUGACGGGGACCCGCACAAGCGGUGGAGCAUGUGGUUUAAUUUGAAGCAACGCGAAGAACCUUACCAAAUCUUGACAUCCUUUGACAACUCUAGAGAUAGAGCCUUCCCCUUCGGGGGACAAAGUGACAGGUGGUGCAUGGUUGUCGUCAGCUCGUGUCGUGAGAUGUUGGGUUAAGUCCCGCAACGAGCGCAACCCUUAAGCUUAGUUGCCAGCAUUAAGUUGGGCACUCUAAGUUGACUGCCGGUGACAAACCGGAGGAAGGUGGGGAUGACGUCAAAUCAUCAUGCCCCUUAUGAUUUGGGCUACACACGUGCUACAAUGGACAAUACAAAGGGCAGCUAAACCGCGAGGUCAUGCAAAUCCCAUAAAGUUGUUCUCAGUUCGGAUUGUAGUCUGCAACUCGACUACAUGAAGCUGGAAUCGCUAGUAAUCGUAGAUCAGCAUGCUACGGUGAAUACGUUCCCGGGUCUUGUACACACCGCCCGUCACACCACGAGAGUUUGUAACACCCGAAGCCGGGUGGAGUAACCAUUUAUGGAGCUAGCCGUCGAAGGUGGGACAAAUGAUUGGGGUGAAGUCGAACAGUCGCG
rnacentral:rRNA from 1 species